ACCCAGCUUGAUUGAUAGCCGCUUGAAAAGCUGGCACAGUGCUGGCUUGCAUGGCUCCCUCCUUGUGCUGGGGUCUGUGGGCUGCCCUCCCUCUGCCACACUCUUCUUGUUCCCAGACAUGAGCAUUUGCCUGCUGAUAUUAAUGUUGGUACUCCAGCAGGUAUGUGGUUAAUAGGAACUUCUCAGGAAAUCUUUUCAUGAUCAUCCUCUUCCUUCCCAUCCAUCUCAGUUUUUGUCUGUCAGGUUAGGUAUCUGAGCACACCUGUGAACAUGCAUACCAGCAGUCUUGCUUUCUAAGGGUACUAAGUAUUUAUGGUGCUCUCGGUGGGCUAAUUUUUCAUGGGUACUGAGCACCCACUGCUUCUAGUAUUGUGUAAUUGAAAAUGUGAUAUUUCUGCUUGAAAAUGUUGGCAGUAAAAUUUAAUACAAUUACAUUAAUGAAAUAAGUAUAGUUUGGCUUACAAAAUAAGUACAUAAAAUCUCAGAAGGGUAAUUGAGAGUAGUUGAACCACUUGGAACAGUAUACCAGUUCUUGCCUUCAGAAGUCUCUUCCUGCUGCUUUGAGUAUUAGUCUUGGUCUCAGAUUUGUAAAAUCCAUCUGAAUUAUUUAGUAUGAAAACAGAAUUAACUUUCUGAUCAGGUAAUGCUUGUCUCCAAAAAUUACAUGCAUUAUUGGACCUCUUUGCAGUAGUUCUGCAAUAGCAGUUCCCAAAUAAAUGAAGCAUAAAAUAACCCUGCUGUUAAUUCUGGUACCCCCACAUGUAUGUGGAGUCAGUGGGCAGAAACAAUUGUCUGUUAAUAGAUUGCAACCUUGCUUUUGUGUUUUCUAGGGCAACGUAUAUGUGAAAUGCCCCUCAAUUGCUGCAGCAAUUGCAGCUGUCAAUGCAUUACAUGGAAGGUGGUUUGCAGGUAAAAUGAUUACAGCAGCAUAUGUACCUCUUCCAACAUACCACAGCCUUUUUCCUGAUUCCAUGACUGCAACCCAGUUACUGGUUCCUGUUCGACGAUGAAGAUGGAUUUAGUCAGUUUUGUACAUAGUGCUUUUUUUCUUUUCUUUUUUUCUUUUUGGAGGAAAAUACAGUUAUCUUUUAUUUAGAUAAAACUAAAGGAAAGGGUUUAGUGUCAUUUUGUCUACGCUUCCCGUUACCUUUAAAAAAAAAUAAAACGAAGUAAGCAGGAAUGCUGUGUGUUCAUUUUCCCUAACUAGCAUUUCCACUGUAUACAAAGCUGUUGACUUCAUGUUCUGCCUUGUAAUUGUAAAUUUUCUGAGUUGAUUGUUAGGAAAUGAAAAGUAGCUCAUAGAAACACAUUUUUCUGGAAAAGGCAGAUAGGAAAUAAUGACAUUUUUCAAGUUUCACAAGCCUUUAUUUUAAUGCAACAGUUACAUUUUACAUUUCAGUAAAUGUAGGUGUUCUGCUAAAGGUUAAUAUCAGAGAUAGAAUUUAUGAAGGGACAUGUUUAGUGUUUUGUAUAAAUUGAAAACUCAGAAGGCUACUGAAAGCUGAUUUUGUUCAGUCACUCAGCUUGCUUUUAUGCUGAAUAAUUGAUAAUAGGAUUCAAGGGGUUUGUUUUUUGAUGGUAACUUUUGAUUAAUGUAUCUGUAAGUUUCUUUGUAAAUACUGUGUGCAGUGUCUCUAAGGUUCCAAACAAAGCUAUUUCUGAAUUUCCAGAUAAGUUUAAUUCCAUGCAAAUAGUAUGCACAUGUUCAGAGAAGUAGGAAAUACAGAAGUAUGUUUUGUCUGGUUGCAUAUAAUCUUUGCUCUUUUUAAGCUCUGUGAGCUCUGAAAUAUAUUUUGGGUUACUUCAGUGUGUUUGACAAGACAGCUUAAUAUUUCUAUCAAAACAAAUGACUUUCAUAUUGCAACAAUCUUUGUAAGAACUGCUCAAAAAUAAAAUUCCCUUAAAAAGGC